rnacentral:lncRNA from 1 species
GGAUGGUUGGGCUGGAUGAUCUUGUAGGUCUUUUCCAACCUAGCUAAUUCUAUGAUUCUAUGAUUUUUUUUUUUAGCGUGAAUGUAUAGGCUAGAACAAUACAUCUGAGUCUGUCCUGGUUUCAGCCAAAACAGCAUUAAUAGCACACCAGUCUUUGGUUGUCUCUGAGUGAUGGGAAGACACCUGAGGUGGGGAAAGAGCCAUGGCCAUGAUGGUGUGUGGGCAUGAGGCGCAACAGGUGACCUGAGUUAGGCUAAGUGUUAUUCCAGACCGUGUGACACCACACAGAAGGUUAUCUAGCUGUGGGGAGUGGUCAUGAGGAAGCUGCUGCUCAGGUGCUAUGGGGCUCACUUGGUGGUGGGUGAGACUUUGUGUUGCUGGCAGGCACUGGUUGUCUGUAUUUAUGGCUGCGUGUCUGGUGGUGACUAGCUGCAUUUCAGAUAUGUAUUAUAUAUAGGCAUAUAUAUUGUUUUCAUUGUCCUUUUGUUUCCAUUUUCUUUUCUGUCUUAGUAAAUAGCUCUUAUUUCAACCCAAGAGUUCUAUUUUGUUUCCAGUUCUCUCCCUCAUUCUACCUGGGAGGAAGUGAGCAAAAGGCCUUGUGGUGUUCAGCCGCUGCCAGGUUAUGCCACAAAACAGUCAAUUUGGAAAAGUUGCUUUCCUUCUCAGCUCUGCAGUCAGUGGCUCUGUCUGGCAUCAGGAAGCUAGUAUUCUUUGUCAAUGAAAAAACUCAGGUGCUAGCUUUCAAGGCUGCAGAUGUUUUUAAUGCUGAAUUGAGAGCAAGUGCUUUUUAAAGGAGAAACAUAAAUCACAGAAAUACUGUAUUGCUUUAAAAGAAUGAGAAGAAAGUGGAGUAUAUCCUAAGAAAUAUGAUGUAUUGGAUAAGCAUCUACCAUAUUUCCUAAGAUUUCACUUUUGGAAAUUAAAAUGGACAUGCUGCGGUUAAGAGGCUUUUGUAAUUAUAUGUUAGUAUCAGAACGCUCUAUUGUAUGUAGGUUAUAAACAGUAUUAUUUUGACCCAAUUACCAAUUAUUUGGGCAAUAAAAUAGCUGAACAGAAAAGUAUCUCUGAGGAG